GUUGUUUCUAUUUGCUUAUUUGAGCGGUUCUUGCCAUAGUAUGGACUUGGUCUUUUACCAAAUAGGGCUAUCUUCUGUAUACCACCCCUACCUAGUCACAACACAACUGAUUGGCUCAAAUGCAUUAAGAAGGAAAGAAAUUCCACAAAUUAACUUUUAACAAGGCACACCAGUUAAUUGAAAUGCAUUCCAGUUGACUAACUCAUGAAGCUGGUUGAGAGAAUGCCAAGAGUGUGCAAAGCUGUCAUCAAGACAAAGGGUGGCUACUUUAAAAAAAAAUUGGUUACUUUCUGGUUACAAGAGCACAAAAAAGAGCUUUGAGGACACCUCACCCUGGGUGAACUUGAUGGGAGAUUUGGGUUUAGAUGAUGCAUAGACACAGCCACCCGAAGCACUGCAACUAGCAACUAGCACUGAAGUGCAACUCGCACUUCAGUGCGAGGAUACGCCGCUUUAAAAAUAGAAUUCAGAGCAUGGGUUGACUUGGUCCUGAAGAAAGAGUAUAUAAGAAGCAUGCUUUCAAUGGAAAGGCAUGAUAGUGCUACUUGACUUAUCACUGACAGACAGCUCGUGAUACUUCAACUAUCAUCAACCUAAAAGAUCGGAUCGCCUUUCUUCAUCUCCUGCCUAGAGGCCCUGUGUCCAGUCCUCUCCUCCCAUCGGUCCAGUGAGCAGUCGAGAGAAUCAACAGAUACAGGAUGGAAGAGCAGGAGUUGAGCUUCCCCAUGAGCCAGGAGUCCUUCCAGCAGCUUUGGGACUACCAAUGUAGCUACUUAAGAGUGGACAGAGAUGGUUGCGUCAUGUCUACUCAGGGGUCCAAUAUUCCACCGUUUGGGACUGGAAACUGGUCUGACCUGGAUGUCUCGCUAGCUCCCGUACUUCCCGAGGCCACCUUCCNNNNNNNNNNNNUAGGGUAGGCAAUUUGAUCAACAAAGAUUAGCCUAAUACCGUGACAAUUUCUCACCUCACCUUCUCAACUACUAGCCUACACAACUCUUACUGAAAUACUGUAUCUUAUAUAAUUGCCAACCUUGUCAAAGUCAUUACCAGAGCAGUCUGACCCAAUUAUUGUCUAUGUGAACCAGACCCUCCCGCUGCAUUCUAUGUUCUGCUUUCUUCUCCACAUCUUCAGGGCUGCAUUCCAGCGGCACAUGUCUGCUUUCCUUUCAAAGCCAC
rnacentral:lncRNA from 13 species